GUCAGGUGGAUAGAGAGAUGGACAGACAGACAGAUACAGAGACAGACAGAAAGCCAGGUGGAUAGAGAGAUGGACAGACAGACAGAUACAGAGACAGACAGAAAGCCAGGUGGAUAAAGAGAUGGACAGACAGACAGGUGGAUAAAGAGAUGGACAGACAGACAGGUGGAUAAAGAGAUGGACAGACAGACAGAGACAGACAGAAAGCCAAGUAGAUAAAGAGAUGGACAGACAGACAGACAGACAGAAAGCCAGGUAGAUAAAGAGAUGGACAGACAGACAGACAGGUAGAUAAAGAGAUGGACAGACAGACAGACAGACAGAAAGCCAGGUAGAUAAAGAGAUGGACAGACAGACAGAUACAGAGACAGACAGAAAGACAGGUAGAUAAAGAAAUGGACAGACAGACAGGUAGAUAAAGAGAUGGACAGACAGACAGAUACAGAGACCGACAGAAAGACAGG